rnacentral:rRNA from 1 species
GAUGAACGCUAGCGGCAGGCUUAACACAUGCAAGUCGAGGGGUAUUUAUCUUCGUAUAGAGAGACCGGCGCACGGGUGCGUAACGCGUAUGCAAUCUACCUUUUACAGAGGGAUAGCCCAGAGAAAUUUGGAUUAAUACCUCAUAGUAUAUAGACUCGGCAUCGAGAUUAUAUUAAAGUCACAACGGUAAAAGAUGAGCAUGCGUCCCAUUAGCUAGUUGGUAAGGUAACGGCUUACCAAGGCUACGAUGGGUAGGGUUCAUGAGAGGGAGAUCCACCACACUGGUACUGAGACACGGACCAGACUCGUACGGGAGGCAGCAGUGAGGAAUAUUGGACAAUGAGCGCAAGCCUGAUCCAGCCAUGCCGCGUGCAGGAUGACGGUCAUAUGGAUUGUAAACUGCUUUUGUACGAGAGGAAACACUGAUACGUGUAGCAGCUUGACGGUAUCGUAAGAAUAAGGAUCGGCUAACUCCGUG